AACGAACGCUGGCGGCGUGCUUAACACAUGCAAGUCGAACGAGAAAGCUCUUCGGAGUGAGUAUAGUGGCGCACGGGUGAGUAAUAUAUAGGAACGUACCUCUGAGUGGGGAAUAACCACGGGAAACCGUGGCUAAUACCGCAUAGUCUGGAAACAGUAAAGUCCGCCUCUUCUUGAAAGCAGGCGCUUAGAGAUCGGCCUAUAUCCCAUUAGCUAGUUGGUAGGGUAAUGGCCUACCAAGGCAACGAUGGGUAGCUGGUCUGAGAGGAUGAUCAGCCACACUGGGACUGAGACACGGCCCAG
rnacentral:rRNA from 1 species